rnacentral:misc_RNA from 1 species
GUAGGGUUCUCCGCCUCAUCAAACUUCUAGGCGACGAUGUUGGUAGGUUUAUGGUUUUAUUUACAAAUUGAAUUAUCCUUGGUUCUGAUAAUUAGGGUUCAAAUGCGUCAUAUACUGAUUACCAGCGUUCAAUAUUGCUACGGACGCUGCGUAUGAGCCGACGCUAUAUCUUUCCCUCUCUGCAAGAAAUACUCUUCUUACAGGAGUACCUUCGUCUCCAUUUCUGCAGAUCUGGGGAUAUUUCUUCUUCUUAUUCUUCUUUUAUUUUUUCUAUUUAAUGUUUUGAGAGAGAAGAUGGAGAUGAUGAUUAUUUCCCCAGAUGAU